CAAGACAUUGGAGGAGAGACUGGAAUAGAGGUUGUACAAGACAUUGGGCGGGAGACUAGACUAGAGGUUGGACAAGACACUGGGCGAGAGACUGGACUAGAGGUUGGACAAGACACUGGGCGAGAGACUGGACUAGAGGUUAGACAAGACAUUGGGCGAGAGACUGGACUAGAGGUUGGACAAGACAUUGGAGGAGAGACUGGGUAAGUAUGACCAGAUGAACUUUGCAAAACAAAUUUAAGUUUAUAAAAUCAUCUAAAAUUACUUUCAGUUAUCCGAGACAUUAAUGAAUAUUACAUUGUUUUGUUGUUUUAUCAGAUUGUUGUUGUGGGAACAACCUCACAGCGCACACUCCAACCUGGGAGAGGCUGUCCGGAUCCCCUCUCGUACGGAAGGUACUGCAUUCGGUACGUCGACACGUGUCAUUCUGACCAGGAGUGUCAGAGGAUUAACAGGGGCCGCAAGUGCUGUCUUGUUGCUGGCUGUGGCAAGGAGUGCAGGAGCUAAGGUCAGAAGGAACAAAGAGCACGCUGCAGGAUGGCCAAAAGUGCACGCAAUAGGAGCAAGUUGCAAGAGCGUUUUCAUAUUAUCAAUAAAAUUAUUUCAGCCAGUGGAGGCGCUGUUUAACAUUCCUUAAUAAAAUCAGCAUUACACACGUCUAGAAUAUUUUCAUCUAUCACGAGUGCUUGGAACCUGUCCGGGGAACACACCCUAAGAUGCUCCAGCUCACUUGGACGAGUUGACACCUUGACUCCACAGUUGUCUCCCAACAACUAUCAACCUCAAGAUGGCACAACUGACAUGAACGUAUCAAGAUAUGCAAAACAACACACAAGACAUGCAGAAAACCGCACAAUAAAUGGAGAAAAAUGUAAUGUAAAUGCAGAACAACAAGUAAUAAAUGAAGAAUAAUGCAAAAGACCAGCAAAAUAGCAAACACACAAUAAUUAAAGAAUAAGGCAAAAGACAAAAAAAGAACAACAUUAAAUAUAUGCAGAAAACGUACAAUAAAUACAGAACAGCCCACAAUAAAUGAAAGACAGCCCACAAUAAAGGCAGGACAGCACCCCACCAUAAAAUAACCUUUUAGGAAUUAGUGAAAUUUUUAGUUCGUGUAUCCAAACCGUUAAUUUUGUAUUAAAGAUUAAGUUUGACAUUUUCCUAGUUGUACUGUCACUAGCAUUAUAUUUGUAUAAAGAGAAAGCUUGACAUUUUCCUACUGGUAUUAUCACUUGCAUUAUACUUUUAUUAUAAUUAGGCUUUACAUUUUCAAAGUGUUAUAUUGUCACUUUAGGUUAUACCUCAGAUCAUAACAUCUUUGUUUGAAGAUUUCUAGAUUUCUUUUUAACUUAAACUGGGAGAUUAGUACCUAUAAACAGGUUUAUAAGUUGCUAUACUUGUCUAUCCUCUUAACCGAUAAAUAUUGAAGUUCUCCAUAUAUAUAGUUAUCAUGACCCUCGUCCUCUUCUGAUCGUGUCUUAUCCAAGACCCUUAUAUUAAAUAUCAGCCAGUUGCUGACUGCCAGUGGCUGAAUUAACAAGUAAAAUUAAAGAUUC
rnacentral:lncRNA from 1 species